rnacentral:rRNA from 1 species
GACGUAGGAGGCGAGCGUUGUCCGGAUUCAUUGGGCGUAAAGGGUGUGUAGGUGGCGCGCUAAGUCGGGUGUGAAAUUUCGGAGCUUAACUCCGAAACUGCAUUCGAUACUGGCGUGCUUGAGGACUGGAGAGGAGACUGGAAUUCAUGGUGUAGCAGUGAAAUGCGUAGAGAUCAUGAGGAAGACCAGUGGCGAAGGCGGGUCUCUGGACAGUUCCUGACACUGAGACACGAAGGCCAGGGGAGCAAACGGG